rnacentral:rRNA from 1 species
UGCUAAGCGUAUACGGGCGCACGACGGAUGCCUUGGCAUCAGGAGGCUAUGAAGGACGCGGAAGACUGCGAUAAGCUCCGGGGAGCCGUCAACAGGCUUUGAUCCGGGGAUUUCCGAAUGGGGCAACCCGGCCGCCUUCAUCGGCGGUCAUUCACGGAUGAAUACAUAGUCCGUGAAAGCGACACGUGGGGAAGUGAAACAUCUCAGUACCCACAGGAGAAGAGAUCAAACGACAUUGCGCAAGUAGCGGCGAGCGAAAGCGCAGGAGCCCAAACCGGGAAGCUUGCUUCCCGGGGUUGCGGGACUCGGACACGGUACCGGAAAGGCUAGGCGGACACAGCUGGAAAGCUGGGCCGCAGCGGGUGACAGCCCCAUAGCCGAAAGCCCGACCGGACCCACGAGGAUCCCGAGUAGGGCGGAGCACGUGAAACUCCGUCCGAAUCCGGGGGGACCACCCUCCAAGGCUGAAUACUCCCUGAUGACCGAUAGCGAACUAGUACCGCGAGGGAAAGGCGAAAAGAACCGCUGCUAGCGGAGUGAAACAGACCUGAAAUCGUGCGUCCACAAGCUAUGGGAGCGUGCUUCGGCACGCGACCGUUUGCCUUUUGCAUAAUGAGUCCGCGAGUCACCGUAUCCGGCAAGCCUAACCGAAAGGGGAGGCGCAGCGAAAGCGAGUCCGAACAGGGCGCCUGAGUCGGAUGCGGUGGACCCGAAGCCCAUGCGAGCUAUCCUUGGACAGCGUGAAGCCCCCGUAACAGGGGGUGGAGGCGCGAACGAGUGACCGUUGAAAAGGUCUUCG